rnacentral:rRNA from 1 species
CCUGGCGGCCCUUGCGCGGGUGACCCACCUGACCCCAUGCCGAACUCAGAAGUGAAACGCCGUAGCGCCGAUGGUAGUGUGGGGUCUCCCCAUGCGAGAGUAGGGAACUGCCAGAC